rnacentral:snRNA from 1 species
AUACUUACCUAGCAGGGGAGAUAACCGUGAUCAUGGAGGUGGUUUUCCCAGGUUGUGUUUGAUUACACCCCAGAUGUGCUGUCCCCUGAGAUUUCCCCAAAUGCGGGAAACCUGAAUGCAUAAUUUGUAAUUAUUAUUAC